CAGUAGCCGCGGUAACACGUAGGGGGCGAGCGUUGUCCGAAGUUACUGGGCGUAAAGCGCGCGUAGGCGGCUUCUUAAGUCUGAGGUGAAAGGUUCAACGCUUAACGUGAACAGUGCCUUGGAUACUGGGGAGCUUGAGUAUGGGAGAGGGCAGUGGAAUGGCUGGUGUAGCGGUGAAAUGCGUAGAUAUCAGUCGGAACACCCAUGGCGAAGGCAGCUGCCUGGCCUAAUACUGACGCUGAGGUGCGAAAGCGUGGGGAGCGAACGGGAUUAGAUACCCCUGUAGUCCCUGUCUCUUAUA
rnacentral:rRNA from 1 species